rnacentral:rRNA from 1 species
CGCGUGGAUAAUCUACCCUUAAGAUGGGGAUAACGGCUGGAAACGGUCGCUAAUACCGAAUACGCUCCCGAUUUUAUCGUUGGGGGGAAAGAUGGCCUCUGCUUGCAAGCUAUCGCUUAAGGAUGAGUCCGCGUCCCAUUAGCUAGUUGGCGGGGUAACGGCCCACCAAGGCGACGAUGGGUAGCCGGUCUGAGAGGAUGACCGGCCACACUGGAACUGGAACACGGUCCAGACUCCUACGGGAGGCAGCAGUGGGGAAUAUUGCGCAAUGGGCGAAAGCCUGACGCAGCGACGCCGCGUGAGGGAUGAAGGUUCUCGGAUCGUAAACCUCUGUCAGGGGGGAAGAAACCCCCUCGUGUGAAUAAUGCGAGGGCUUGACGGUACCCCCAAAGGAAGCACCGGCUAACUCCGUGCCAGCAGCCGCGGUAAUACGGAGGGUGCAAGCGUUAAUCGGAAUCACUGGGCGUAAA